CCCUCCACAUUGCUCCCUUCUCUCUCUCCAGUACAACGUAACUCUAUCCUUCCUCCCUCUAGGGUUUCUGGGCUCCCCAUCCGCGCAAGAGUUGCCCCUACCACGACGCCCCGACCUUGCUCUCCAACUUUCAUCCCCUAAUUGUCUCCCUCACUAGCUCGAGUCCGUUAAUUGUCCAUGCUUCAUCAUAAUCAAUUCUGACUCAUCGCCGUCAGGUUGCUGAAUGUACCGACAUUGCGUUGUUUAACCAUCAAAGAAUCAAGUACAAGUGAGGAGUUGUUCAGCUAUCUCUCCAUUCAGUGGUAAUUGGUUUCAGGAAUGCCUUAUAUCAGUUUGGCUGAUAUUCUCAGCAACAUCAAGCAACAACCAGACAUAGAAGGAAGGCUAGUAGAGAUUGGAGUUAAGGGUAGUAAGAGGGAGCAUAACAAAGACUGGGAAGAGCAAGAAGCUAAUCAGGAUAGUGAUGCCACACACUCCAGCCCCGGCGCCAUCGACAAACGAGUUAGAAGCAGCUUCUUUUAUUAUUAAUGUAGAAGAUGGUGUAUGUUCCUGAAGGAGAAUGAAUGCAAAUGAUGUACAAUGCUAUUCUUUCUAGUAUUUUGUGUUCAAAUUUAAGAUAGCAUUGCAUGUUGUCUGAUUGUGGCAGACGUAAAAUUUCUUUGUAGUCUUGCAACCCUGGAAAAGGUAACAUCAUCACUGAGAGCCAACCUUUGGAAAAAAUUAUUUUGCGAGGUUUUCUGUUUUGUUCCCCUUUGUUGAAUUGAAUGUACAAUUCUUUUUGUAACAUUUUGAAUAGCGGCUGUUUCCUGAA